AUGAACGCUAGCGACAGGCUUAACACAUGCAAGUCGAGGGGCAGCACAGGUAGCAAUACCGGGUGGCGACCGGCGCACGGGUGAGUAACGCGUAUGCAACUUACCUAUCAGAGGGGGAUAACCCGGCGAAAGUCGGACUAAUACCGCAUGAAGCAGGGGCCCCGCAUGGGGAUAUUUGCUAAAGAUUCAUCGCUGAUAGAUAGGCAUGCGUUCCAUUAGGCAGUUGGCGGGGUAACGGCCCACCAAACCGACGAUGGAUAGGGGUUCUGAGAGGAAGGUCCCCCACAUUGGUACUGAGACACGGACCAAACUCCUACGGGAGGCAGCAGUGAGGAAUAUUGGUCAAUGGGCGUAAGCCUGAACCAGCCAAGUCGCGUGAGGGAUGAAGGUUCUAUGGAUCGUAAACCUCUUUUAUAAGGGAAUAAAGUGCGGGACGUGUCCCGUUUUGUAUGUACCUUAUGAAUAAGGAUCGGCUAACUCCGUGCCAGCAGCCGCGGUAAUACGGAGGAUCCGAGCGUUAUCCGGAUUUAUUGGGUUUAAAGGGUGCGUAGGCGGCCUUUUAAGUCAGCGGUGAAAGUCUGUGGCUCAACCAUAGAAUUGCCGUUGAAACUGGGGGGCUUGAGUAUGUUUGAGGCAGGCGGAAUGCGUGGUGUAGCGGUGAAAUGCAUAGAUAUCACGCAGAACCCCGAUUGCGAAGGCAGCCUGCCAAGCCAUUACUGACGCUGAUGCACGAAAGCGUGGGGAUCAAACAGGAUUAGAUACCCUGGUAGUCCACGCAGUAAACGAUGAUCACUAGCUGUUUGCGAUACACUGUAAGCGGCACAGCGAAAGCGUUAAGUGAUCCACCUGGGGAGUACGCCGGCAACGGUGAAACUCAAAGGAAUUGACGGGGGCCCGCACAAGCAGUGGAGUAUGUGGUUUAAUUCGAAGCAACGCGAAGAACCUUACCAAGUCUUGACAUCCCUUGACGAUGCUGGAAACAGUAUUUCUCUUCGGAGCAAGGAGACAGGUGGUGCAUGGUUGUCGUCAGCUCGUGCCGUGAGGUGUCGGCUUAAGUGCCAUAACGAGCGCAACCCUUGCCACUAGUUACUAACAGGUGAUGCUGAGGACUCUGGUGGGACUGCCAGCGUAAGCUGCGAGGAAGGCGGGGAUGACGUCAAAUCAGCACGGCCCUUACAUCCGGGGCGACACACGUGUUACAAUGGCGUGGACAAAGGGAGGCCACCUGGCGACAGGGAGCGAAUCCCCAAACCACGUCUCAGUUCGGAUCGGAGUCUGCAACCCGACUCCGUGAAGCUGGAUUCGCUAGUAAUCGCGCAUCAGCCAUGGCGCGGUGAAUACGUUCCCGGGCCUUGUACACACCGCCCGUCAAGCCAUGGGAGCCGGGGGUACCUGAAGUCCGUAACCGCGAGGAUCGGCCUAGGGUAAAACUGGUGACUGGGGCU
rnacentral:rRNA from 1 species